AUUGAACGCUGGCGGCGGGCCUAACACAUGCAAGUCGAACGGUAACAGGAAGAAGCUUGCUUCUUUGCUGACGAGUGGCGGACGGGUGAGUAAUGUCUGGGAAACUGCCUGAUGGAGGGGGAUAACUACUGGAAACGGUAGCUAAUACCGCAUAACGUCGCAAGACCAAAGAGGGGGACCUUCGGGCCUCUUGCCAUCGGAUGUGACCAGAUGGGAUUAGCUAGUAGGUGGGGUAACGGCUCACCUAGGCGACGAUCCCUAGCUGGUCUGAGAGGAUGACCAGCCACACUGGAACUGAGACACGGUCCAGACUCCUACGGGAGGCAGCAGUGGGGAAUAUUGCACAAUGGGCGCAAGCCUGAUGCAGCCAUGCCGCGUGUAUGAAGAAGGCCUUCGGGUUGUAAAGUUCUUUCAGCGGGGAGGAAGGGAGUAAAGUUAAUACCUUUACUCAUUGACGGUACCCGCAGAAGAAGCACCGGCUAACUCCGUG
rnacentral:rRNA from 1 species